GUYUUUUUGUUAAAAAUUUAAAGUCGGGCCUGCCCACUGAAAUUUUUAAUGGCCGUGGUAUUUUGACCAUGCUAAGGUAGCAUAAUAAUUAGUUUUUUAAUUGAAAGCUGGAAUGAAAGGUUUGAUAAAAAAAUGACUGUCUCUAUUUAAUUUUAUUAAAAAUUUAUUUUUAAGUUCAAAAGCUUAAUUUUAAUUAAAAGACGAGAAGACCCUAUAGAGUUUAAUAAUUUAAGAUAAUUUAUAUUUUAGAAUUAAUUUAUUUAUUUUUUAAUAUUAUUUAAUUGGGGUGAUUGAAAAAUUUAAUUAACUUUUUUUAUAUUUAACCAUUAAUUUAUGAUAAUUUGAUCCAAUUUUUUGAUUAUAAGAUAAAAUUACCUUAGGGAUAACAGCGUAAUUUUUUUAGAAAGUUCAAAUUAAAAGAAAAGAUUGCGACCUCGAUGUUGGAUUAAAAUUAAAUUUUGGUGUAGAAGCUAAAAAUUUUAAGUCUGUUCGACUUUUAAAAUUUUACA
rnacentral:rRNA from 1 species